UUGAUUGCAACGGCCAGAACUGUGCUGAUCCGAAGCCAGGAGCCACGAGCUUCUUCCGGGUCUCCCACGUGGGUGCAGGGGCCCAAGGACUUGGGCCAUUCUUUACUGCUUUCCCAGGCCAUAGCAGAGAGCUGGAUAGGAAGUGGAGCAGCCGGGUCUCAAACCGGCGUCCAUAUGGGAUGCUGGUGCUUCAGGCCCGGGUGUUAACCUGCUGCGCCACAGCUCAGGCCCCUCAAGAAUGAAUUUCAGCACUGACAUGCUGAUUGUGGUCAACUUGUAUCUUAGUCCUAGUGUAAACUGGAUUCAAUCAAUUACAAUUACAUUGUGAUCCCAUCAUCGAUACCCAAUUGGAUUACCUUGUGAUGCUACUGUCUUGUGUAAAAAUCUGAUUCACUGCUUCUUCUUUUCAGUGUAUUUACUGCCUCAGAAGAUACAGGUGGUAUAGUGAAAUUUGGAAGACUGUCCCUGUGGCCAUUUGUAUCUCUUUUGGAGAAAUGUCUCUUCAAAUCCUCUGCCCACAGAACUGUGAAUGUCUCUUACAGGAGCCGGCACUGUGGUGUACUGGGUUCAGCCACCGUCUGUGAUGCUGGCAUCCCACAUGGGCACCCAUCUGAAUCUCAGCUGCUCCACUCCUGACACAGCUCCCUGCUAAUGUGCCCGGGAAAGAAGCAGUGGAUGGCUUGAGUUCUUGGGCCCCUGCACCCACAUGGGAGUCCUAGAAGAAGCUCCUGCUCUUGGGUCCCUGCACCCAUAUGGGAGUCCUAGAAGAAGCUCCUGGCCCCCUGGCUUUGGCCUUGCCUAAGCCUGAUCAUUGUGGCCAUCUGGGGAGUGAAUCAGCAGAUGGAAGACACACACUCAUUCUCUCUCUCUCUCUCUCUCUCUCUCUCUCUCUCUCUGUAACUCUUUCAUAUAAAUAAAAUAAAU